GGCCAGACUCCUACGGGAGGCAGCAGUGGGGAAUAUUGCACAAUGGGGGAAACCCUGAUGCAGCGACGCCGCGUGAGCGAUGAAGUAUUUCGGUAUGUAAAGCUCUCUCAGCAGGGAAGAAAAUGACGGUACCUGACUAAGAAGCCCCGGCUAACUACGUGCCAGCAGCCGCGGUAGUACGUAGGGGGCAAGCGUUAUCCGGAUUUACUGGGUGUAAAGGGAGCGUAGACGGCAUGGCAAGUCAGAUGUGAAAGCCCGGGGCUCAACCCCGGGACUGCAUUUGAAACUGUCAGGCUGGAGUGCAGGAGAGGUAAGUGGAAUUCCUAGUGUAGCGGUGAAAUGCGUAGAUAUUAGGAGGAACACCAGUGGCGAAGGCGGCUUACUGGACUGUAACUGACGUUGAGGCUCGAAAGCGUGGGGAGCAAACAGGAUUAGAUACCCCCGUA
rnacentral:rRNA from 1 species